rnacentral:rRNA from 1 species
GAUGAACGCUGGCGGCGGGCCUAACACAUGCAAGUCGAGCGGAGCGGCGGACGGGUGAGUAAUGCCUAGGAAUCUGCCCGGCAGUGGGGGCUAACGUCCGGAAACGGGCGCUAAUACCGCAUACUACCAGAUGAGCCUAGGUCGGAUUAGCUAGUUGGUGGGGUAAAGGCCUACCAAGGCGACGAUCCGUAACCGGUCUGAGAGGAUGAUCAGUCACACUGGAACUGAGACACGGUCCAGACUCCUACGGGAGGCAGCAGUGGGGAAUAUUGGGCAAUGGGCGAAAGCCUGAUCCAGCCAUGCCGCGUGUGUGAAGAAGGUCUUCGGAUUGUAAAACACUUUAAGUUGGGAGGCGGUACCAACAAAGAAAGCACCGGCUAACUACGUGCCAGCAGCCGCGGUAAUUC